rnacentral:rRNA from 1 species
UGGGGAAUAUUGCACAAUGGGCGAAAGCCUGAUGCAGCGACGCCGCGUGAGGGAUGACGGCCUUCGGGUUGUAAACCUCUUUCAGCAGGGACGAAGCGCAAGUGACUGUACCUGCAGAAGAAGCACCGGCUAACUACGUG